rnacentral:rRNA from 1 species
GUCUACGGCCAUACCACCCUGAACGCACCAGAUCUCAUCUGAUCUCAGAAGCUAAGCAGGGUCAGGCCUGGUUAGUACUUGGAUGGGAGGAAAAGUAUAGAGGCAGACA